UACGUAGGGGGGCAAGCGUUGUCCGGAUUUAUUGGGCGUAAAGAGCGUGUAGGCGGCCAGACAGGUCCGUUGUGAAAACUAGAGGCUUAACCUCUAGACGUCGAUGGAAACCGUCUGGCUAGAGUCCGGAAGAGGAGAAUGGAAUUCCUGGUGUAGCGGUGAAAUGCGCAGAUAUCAGGAAGAACACCCGUGGCUAAGGCGGUUCUCUAGUACGGUACUGACGCUGAGAACGCGGAAAGCGUGGGGAGCGAACAGG
rnacentral:rRNA from 1 species